AGAGUUUGAUCCUGGCUCAGGACGAACGCUGGCGGCGUGCUUAACACAUGCAAGUCGAACGGAAAGGCCCCUUCGGGGGUACUCGAGUGGCGAACGGGUGAGUAACACGUGGGUGAUCUGCCCUGCACUUUGGGAUAAGCCUGGGAAACUGGGUCUAAUACCGAAUAGGACCGCAUGCUUCAUGGUGUGUGGUGGAAAGCUUUUGCGGUGUGGGAUGGGCCCGCGGCCUAUCAGCUUGUUGGUGGGGUAAUGGCCUACCAAGGCGACGACGGGUAGCCGGCCUGAGAGGGUGUCCGGCCACACUGGGACUGAGAUACGGCCCAGACUCCUACGGGAGGCAGCAGUGGGGAAUAUUGCACAAUGGGCGCAAGCCUGAUGCAGCGACGCCGCGUGGGGGAUGACGGCCUUCGGGUUGUAAACCUCUUUCAGUAUCGGCGAAGCUCCAGGAUUUUUCUUGGGGUGACGGUAGGUACAGAAGAAGCACCGGCCAACUACGUGCCAGCAGCCGCGGUAAUACGUAGGGUGCGAGCGUUGUCCGGUAUUACUGGGCGUAAAGAGCUCGUAGGUGGUUUGUCACGUUGUCCGUGAAAACUCACAGCUUAACUGUGGGCGUGCGGGCGAUACGGGCAGACUGGAGUACUGUAGGGGAGACUGGAAUUCCUGGUGUAGCGGUGGAAUGCGCAGAUAUCAGGAGGAACACCGGUGGCGAAGGCGGGUCUCUGGGCAGUAACUGACGCUGAGGAGCGAAAGCGUGGGGAGCGAACAGGAUUAGAUACCCUGGUAGUCCAA
rnacentral:rRNA from 1 species